rnacentral:rRNA from 1 species
AGUGAACGCUGGCGGUAGGCCUAACACAUGCAAGUCGAACGGCAGCACAGUAAGAGCUUGCUCUUACGGGUGGCGAGUGGCGGACGGGUGAGGAAUACAUCGGAAUCUACUAUUUCGUGGGGGAUAACGUAGGGAAACUUACGCUAAUACCGCAUACGACCUACGGGUGAAAGCAGGGGAUCUUCGGACCUUGCGCGAUUGAAUGAGCCGAUGUCGGAUUAGCUAGUUGGCGGGGUAAAGGCCCACCAAGGCGACGAUCCGUAGCUGGUCUGAGAGGAUGAUCAGCCACACUGGAACUGAGACACGGUCCAGACUCCUACGGGAGGCAGCAGUGGGGAAUACUGGACAAUGGGCGCAAGCCUGAUCCAGCCAUACCGCGUGGGUGAAGAAGGCCUUCGGGUUGUAAAGCCCUUUUGUUGGGAAAGAAAAGCAGCAGGUUAAUACCCCGCUGUUCUGACGGUACCCAAAGAAUAAGCACCGGCUAACUUCGUG